UACGGAGGGUGCAAGCGUUAUCCGGAUUCACUGGGUUUAAAGGGUGCGUAGGUGGGUUGGUAAGUCAGUGGUGAAAUCCCCGAGCUUAACUUGGGAACUGCCAUUGAUACUAUCAGUCUUGAAUACCGUGGAGGUCAGCGGAAUAUGUCAUGUAGCGGUGAAAUGCUUAGAUAUGACAUAGAACACCAAUUGCGAAGGCAGCUGGCUACACGAGUAUUGACACUGAGGCACGAAAGCGUGGGGAUCAAACAGG
rnacentral:rRNA from 1 species